AUGCUGAAGAGCACACAUGCAAUAACAGUAGCGCCGCGCUGGGAGGCUCCCGAUGCAAACCAUGCAAAACUUAAUAUUGAUGGUGCUUUUGUUAAGGAAAAUGGCACGGCUGGGGCUGGCAUGAUUUUACGUGAUCAUGAAGGUGAUGCCAUCUUUGCCGCGAUACGGGUCCUUUUUAACUGUGGUGAUCCCUUGGAAGCCGAGAUGGCGGCGCUGGAUGAAGGACUACAACUUGCUCUCCACUGGACUAACCUGCCGCUGCUUGUUGAAACGGAUUGUGGCGAGCUGUUAAAGAUGGUGCAGUCGAAAAAUAAAGACCAGUCGAGGUAUGCGUACCGGGUUAAUGGGAUCAGAAGAGUUCUGGAUCAAGAAUGGAACAUUAGUCUAGCUAAGAUCAGCAGGCACACAAAUCUGGCGAGCCACACCCUAGCUUGUAUGGGUCGCUCGCAACAGCGCACGGCAUGCUGGCUCCGGAAUUCCCCUAGGGAGAUAGCUAGCAUUGUCGAAUCUGAAUGUAAUCAUCAUAGUUGA
rnacentral:rRNA from 1 species